rnacentral:rRNA from 1 species
GACGAACGCUGGCGGCGUGCCUAAUACAUGCAAGUAGAACGCUGAAGAGAGGAGCUUGCUCUUCUUGGAUGAGUUGCGAACGGGUGAGUAACGCGUAGGUAACCUGCCUUGUAGCGGGGGAUAACUAUUGGAAACGAUAGCUAAUACCGCAUAACAAUGGAUGACACAUGUCAUUUAUUUGAAAGGGGCAAUUGCUCCACUACAAGAUGGACCUGCGUUGUAUUAGCUAGUAGGUGAGGUAACGGCUCACCUAGGCGACGAUACAUAGCCGACCUGAGAGGGUGAUCGGCCAAGCUGGGACUGAGACACGGCCCAGACUCCUACGGGAGGCAGCAGUAGGGAAUCGUCGGCAAUGGGGGCAACCCUGACCGAGCAACGCCGCGUGAGGGAAGAAGGUUUUCGGAUCGUAAAGCUCUGUUGUAAGUCAAGAACGAGUGUGAGAGUGGAAAGUUCACACUGUGACGGUAGCUUACCAGAAAGGGACGGCUAACUACGUG